rnacentral:lncRNA from 1 species
ACAUGAUAUUAUCUUCGCGCCACUUUCGCAAAAACCCUUUUUUUUACUCCAGGUUUUGCUCCAGCUCAAAGAGCGCUGUCGGGCUUUGGCCUUGAAGCAGCCCGCCCUCAAUUGGUUCUCAUUAGCGGUGGAAUGAGAGGAGAAAGCAAGAUAAUUGCACCGUAUCUUCCGCACAUUUGCGCGUGUAUUCGGUGGCUGCUACCGUUAACGAUACCUGCCAAGAAACCCUGAUUUAGUGGGUGAAGAGGGCGCCUGGCAAGGGCGAAAGCCUCCCAACAGUAGCACAAGGUGCUAGGGGUUAAAACUUUCACAUGUGCAGAGAGUAAGUCGUGUUUCUAUUUCUUCCCUCCUCGGGCCUUAGGAACACUUUCAAUCUAGCGGCGAGGUGGCGCGCAUGCGCGCGCCGGGUGGGGGACACCCCUGUCCCACGGCUCCGUGGGCCUCGUCGUCUGUCUCCGGUGGGGGGCUGAGGCGAGCGCCGCGGGAGCGAGAUGGGACAAGGUGGUAGUGAGUGCGCCAUCCUGGCCCGGAUGCCGGUGGCACCCGCACCGGCUCCGGCCACGGCCUCUGCCUGGGCCGCUGUCCCAGGCGCGCCUUUAAUUAAGGACUCCAGCUUGGGGGAAGAGAGAAGGGAAAAUGCCGACUGCGGUCCGCCCGUGGGUAACUGGGGCUCGGUGGGGUUUUCGCUUUGGCGGGGUGGGGGUUCCGUUUCCUAAUUCCUGUGCGGGCCGGGUGGGCGGGGGCGGGCUUUUUUCCUUGGGCUAUUAAAGGCAGAGGGGCGGGCUUUUCCCAGGGAUAUAGCUACGGACAGAGGGCCAAGGGGACGGAGCGCUCCUCAAGUGGUGGCAGGGAGGCUCGUGGCCCCGCGUCGCUCUGGACAGGGGCGCUUUGGGGUGAGAUGUGCGCUCGCGGCCUUGAUCCAUUUAGUGGACGCUUUUUCUCACUUCUCUUCCCCUUCUGGCUCCGCGGGAGACUGCGCUCGCACCCGGCCCCGGAGCGCUCGAGCUGCGCGCUGGGACACUGGGUAUACGUGUGGAGGGGACACCCGGAGAGGGCGGCCCGUGCGGGAUCCCCGCGCUCUCCACCUGCGAGGGGCGGGCCGGAGCUGGGUCCCGCGCGCGGUUUCCCGAGCGGGUGGCUGGGCAAGAAGGGAGCCCUUCGUUGGGGCAGCUGUGAUCCGGUAGAGUUGACUGGUUGGGUGGGAGGGGACGGAGCGGGCGGGACUUGAGAAAAGCAAAGUACCAGAGUGCGGUUGAGGGGUAGCGGGCAGCGCGCGGGAAACGACUCCCCUUUUCUUCUCCACCGUUGACCUUUAGGUUCCUGGAAAACUUUGGUGGUGAGGGUGUGAAAUGAGGGGGUGCACGUGGAGGGAAAAAAGGGACUCCCCUCCCUCUUGGCUUCUAUCCCACCAACCCGGGAAUGGAGGGGGAGGGAGGCGUGGGCUUGGCGCGUUUUUGGUGCUUUGAAUGGAGAACUCCGUUUCCCAUGAUGCUUUGUUUCUUUCUCUUUAAUUUCGGCGGCGGCUGAGGCUGCACGAGGACUGGAGCGCGUGGUGUGAGCAGCUGGAGCACACCCUGGACGCGCGGGCUGCUCGCGGACUUCAACGGGAGCAUUAGGUGAGUCUGCAUGGAUCUGUGAGGACGGAAAAGAAGAGCUCCUGGAAGACUUAAAAUUUUGCUACAGGAAUAGGCCUUGGCCAUGUAAAAGUGCUUACAGUGCAGGUAGCUUUUUGAGAUCUACUGCAAUGUAAGCACUUCUUACAUUACCAUGGUGAUUUAGUCAAUGGCUACUGAGAACUGUAGUUUGUGCAUAAUUAAGUAGUUGAUGCUUUUGAGCUGCUUCUUAUAAUGUGUCUCUUGUGUUAAGGUGCAUCUAGUGCAGUUAGUGAAGCAGCUUAGAAUCUACUGCCCUAAAUGCCCCUUCUGGCACAGGCUGCCUAAUAUACAGCAUUUUAAAAGUAUGCCUUGAGUAGUAAUUUGAAUAGGACACAUUUCAGUGGUUUGUUUUUUGCCUUUUUAUUGUUUGUUGGGAACAGAUGGUGGGGACUGUGCAGUGUACAGUUGUGUACAGAGGAUAAGAUUGGGUCCUAGUAGUACCAAAGUGCUCAUAGUGCAGGUAGUUUUGGCAUGACUCUACUGUAGUAUGGGCACUUCCAGUACUCUUGGAUAACAAAUCUCUUGUUGAUGGAGAGAAUAUUCAAAGACAUUGCUACUUACAAUUAGUUUUGCAGGUUUGCAUUUCAGCGUAUAUAUGUAUAUGUGGCUGUGCAAAUCCAUGCAAAACUGAUUGUGAUAAUGUGUGCUUCCUACGUCUGUGUGAACACACCUUCAUGCGUAUCUCCAGCACUCAUGCCCAUUCAUCCCUGGGUGGGGAUUUGUUGCAUUACUUGUGUUCUAUAUAAAGUAUUGCACUUGUCCCGGCCUGUGGAAGAAAGGAGGAUUUUUAUCGUCUUCUUAUUUUAACUUUUAAAAGCCGUAAGUUCUGAUAUUUAGUCAUUGUAAAAUGAUCUGUUUUGCUGUUGUCGGGUGGAUCACGAUGCAAUUUUGAUGAGUAUCAUAGGAGAAAAAUUGCACGGUAUCCAUCUGUAAACCGCAGGACCUUUGUUGGCGACAUUCCUGAUCAGCGCUACAGUAAGCUAGAUGGUAAAAAAUCCUUUCUCUAGUUGCUGCUAUUAAAAAAUAAUUUGAAAUAUAUUUGGAUUUCUAAAAACUAUGAUAGCUAAUUUAUAAAGUAUGUGUUUUGGAACUUUGGUGAAUGAUCAGAUUGUUACUGAAUGUGAAUGAACCUCAAAAUAAAUGAAAUUUAUAGAUCUGAAAAAA